rnacentral:misc_RNA from 1 species
CUGAAUGGCCUCUUGGGGCCUUCAACCCUUCAAACCUGUGGAAGCAAACUCCGUGCUUCGGCGCCUUGUGCGCCGCUUUUAUGCAGAAGGCUUUGUGUCUGAAUCAUAAACAAGAAUUA